rnacentral:rRNA from 1 species
GAUGAAACGCUGGCGGCGUGCCUAAUACAUGCAAGUCGAGCGAACAGAUAAGGAGCUUGCUCCUUUGACGUUAGCGGCGGACGGGUGAGUAACACGUGGGUAACCUACCUAUAAGACUGGGACAACUUCGGGAAACCGGAGCUAAUACCGGAUAAUAUGUUGAACCGCAUGGUUCAAUAGUGAAAGAUGGUUUUGCUAUCACUUAUAGAUGGACCCGCGCCGUAUUAGCUAGUUGGUGAGGUAACGGCUCACCAAGGCAACGAUACGUAGCCGACCUGAGAGGGUGAUCGGCCACACUGGAACUGAGACACGGUCCAGACUCCUACGGGAGGCAGCAGUAGGGAAUCUUCCGCAAUGGGCGAAAGCCUGACGGAGCAACGCCGCGUGAGUGAUGAAGGUCUUAGGAUCGUAAAACUCUGUUAUUAGGGAAGAACAAACGUGUAAGUAACUGUGCACGUC